rnacentral:rRNA from 1 species
UACAGAGGGGGCAAGCGUUGUUCGGAAUUACUGGGCGUAAAGGGCGCGUAGGCGGCCUUCUAAGUCGAACGUGAAAUCCCCGGGCUCAACCCGGGAACUGCGUCCGAGACUGAAAGGCUUGAAUCCGGGAGAGGGAUGUGGAAUUCCAGGUGUAGCGGUGAAAUGCGUAGAUAUCGGGAGGAACACCAGUGGCGAAGGCGACUACCUGGCCUGUUUCUUGACGCUGAGGCGCGAAAGCUAGGGGAGCAAACGGG